rnacentral:rRNA from 1 species
AUGCAAGUCGAACGAUGACUAUCUAGCUUGCUAGAUAUGAUUAGUGGCGGACGGGUGAGUAACAUUUAGGAAUCUGCCUAGUAGUGGGGGAUAGCUCGGGGAAACUCGAAUUAAUACCGCAUACGACCUACGGGUGAAAGGGGGCGCAAGCUCUUGCUAUUAGAUGAGCCUAAAUCAGAUUAGCUAGUUGGUGGGGUAAAGGCCUACCAAGGCGACGAUCUGUAACUGGUCUGAGAGGAUGAUCAGUCACACCGGAACUGAGACACGGUCCGGACUCCUACGGGAGGCAGCAGUGGGGAAUAUUGGACAAUGGGGGCAACCCUGAUCCAGCCAUGCCGCGUGUGUGAAGAAGGCCUUUUGGUUGUAAAGCACUUUAAGCAGGGAGGAGAGGCUAAUGGUUAAUACCCAUUAGAUUAGACGUUACCUGCAGAAUAAGCACCGGCUAACUCUGUGCCAGCAGCCGCGGUAAUACAGAGGGUGCGAGCGUUAAUCGGAAUUACUGGGCGUAAAGCGAGUGUAGGUGGCUCAUUAAGUCACAUGUGAAAUCCCCGGGCUUAACCUGGGAACUGCAUGUGAUACUGGUGGUGCUAGAAUAUGUGAGAGGGAAGUAGAAUUCCAGGUGUAGCGGUGAAAUGCGUAGAGAUCUGGAGGAAUACCGAUGGCGAAGGCAGCUUCCUGGCAUAAUAUUGACACUGAGAUUCGAAAGCGUGGGUAGCAAACAGGAUUAGAUACCCUGGUAGUCCACGCCGUAAACGAUGUCUACUAGCCGUUGGGGUCCUUGAGACUUUAGUGGCGCAGUUAACGCGAUAAGUAGACCGCCUGGGGAGUACGGCCGCAAGGUUAAAACUCAAAUGAAUUGACGGGGGCCCGCACAAGCGGUGGAGCAUGUGGUUUAAUUCGAUGCAACGCGAAGAACCUUACCUGGUCUUGACAUAGUGAGAAUCCUGCAGAGAUGCGAGAGUGCCUUCGGGAAUUCACAUACAGGUGCUGCAUGGCUGUCGUCAGCUCGUGUCGUGAGAUGUUGGGUUAAGUCCCGCAACGAGCGCAACCCUUUUCCUUAUUUGCCAGCGGGUUAAGCCGGGAACUUUAAGGAAACUGCCAGUGACAAACUGGAGGA